rnacentral:rRNA from 1 species
UACGAGGGGGGGCUAGCGUUGUUCGGAAUUACUGGGCGUAAAGCGUGCGCAGGCGGCUUCUCAAGUCAGGGGUGAAAGCCCAGAGCUCAACUCUGGAAUUGCCUUUGAGACUGAGUGGCUUGAGUACGAGAGAGGUGAGUGGAAUUCCCAGUGUAGAGGUGAAAUUCGUAGAUAUUCGCAAGAACACCAGUGGCGAAGGCGGCUGACUGGUCCGGUUCUGACGCUGAGGCGCGAAAGCGUGGGGAGCAAACAGG